UGGGGAAUAUUGGACAAUGGGCGCAAGCCUGAUCCAGCCAUGCCGCGUGUGUGAAGAAGGCCUUUUGGUUGUAAAGCACUUUAAGCGAGGAGGAGGCUACUUGGAUUAAUACUCUAGGAUAGUGGACGUUACUCGCAGAAUAAGCACCGGCUAACUCUGUGCCAGCAGCCGCGGUAAUACAGAGGGUGCGAGCGUUAAUCGGAUUUACUGGGCGUAAAGCGUGCGUAGGCGGCUUUUUAAGUCGGAUGUGAAAUCCCUGAGCUUAACUUAGGAAUUGCAUUAGAUACUGGGAAGCUAGAGUAUGGGAGAGGAUGGUAGAAUUCCAGGUGUAGCGGUGAAAUGCGUAGAGAUCUGGAGGAAUACCGAUGGCGAAGGCAGCCAUCUGGCCUAAUACUGACGCUGAGGUACGAAAGCAUGGGGAGCAAACAGG
rnacentral:rRNA from 1 species